rnacentral:misc_RNA from 1 species
AUAUUCUCGUCGGGUUGUGCGGCCUCCACUGCCGCCGGUGUUCCCCUAUCUGUUUCCGAUGGCCGCAGCUGUCGUCGAUGGUCACUCCCUUUUAUCUUCUCUACUGAGUACUUCUGUGAUCGUGUUCUCCUGAAAUUCUUAUUCUCUCUAUCAGCCUUAUAAGUUUCUGUCACCGCAGGGUCACGAUCUGGAUUCUUCUCCACUGGAGCACAAUCAGCAUUCUCGGAACGCCCCGUCCGUUUGUUGUGAAAG